GACGAACGCUGGCGGCGUGCUUAACACAUGCAAGUCGAACGGAAAGGCCCUGCUUUUGUGGGGUGCUCGAGUGGCGAACGGGUGAGUAACACGUGAGUAACCUGCCCUUGACUUUGGGAUAACUUCAGGAAACUGGGGCUAAUACCGGAUAGGAGCUCCUGCUGCAUGGUGGGGGUUGGAAAGUUUCGGCGGUUGGGGAUGGACUCGCGGCUUAUCAGCUUGUUGGUGGGGUAGUGGCUUACCAAGGCUUUGACGGGUAGCCGGCCUGAGAGGGUGACCGGCCACAUUGGGACUGAGAUACGGCACAGAAUCCUACGGGAGGCAGCAGUGGGGAAUAGUGCACAAUGGGCGGAAGCCUGAUGCAGCAACGCCGCGUGCGGGAUGACGGCCUUCGGGUUGUAAACCGCUUUCGCCUGUGACGAAGCGUGAGUGACGGUAAUGGGUAAAGAAGCACCGGCUAACUACGUG
rnacentral:rRNA from 1 species